rnacentral:ncRNA from 1 species
CUUUGCAGGUUAUCCGUGGCCUGAGUGAGGAAGUCAAUGUCCUUGCUAGUCACUAUUAGUGGCGACAUCUUCAAAUUGCGUGAAACCCGUCAUACAGCUUCAAGUACCACUUCAAUUGAGAAAUCUUUUGAAGGAACAGAGGUAACUCCUCUUCCCAAAGGUAAUAAGCUUGAAGACAAGGUGGCAAUGCGCAGCCAAGCUCCUAAGUCCGUCCGGUGGCCGAUAUGGAGAAGGUUCAGAGAGCAGACGGAGAUGGGCGGUAAUUUAGCCGCUUAAGGUGUGCUCCAGCCUCUAUCGAAAGAUUGAG